UGCCGAACUGUGUGAAUGUGGUCCACGG
rnacentral:sRNA from 1 species